CGGGCUUGGACUGGGUUUGGGGUUGCCGAGGCAACGGCACUUCUCAUAAGCGCCCUCCUUCCCCUUGAGAGAGGGCAGCGCUGGCUCCGCUCCAGCCAGAGGCCCCCAUCCCUCACAUCUCGCGCGGUGCACGCCUCCUUCAGCCCCACUCGCAUCUCCUCAGAGUUCCUGCUCCUCCUCAGGGCCCCCUUCUCCUCAAAGCCCUCGGUCCUCAGAGACCCUCACUCCCCAGAGCACCCCAACUCUUCCUCCAAGCCACCCCCUCCUCCUCAGAACCCCACACCUCUUAUAGCUUGAUCGACAGCCCCCAUUCAUUUCCAGAAGCCCCAAGCCCCAGACCCCUGCUCAGUCCCCCUAAUGCUCCCUGCAUCCUCAGCCCCAUCAGGUGGGCCACUGGGGCCCCUGGCUCUUCCUCUAGAGCUUUCCACGCCCCGUUCACCUGGCUAAGGCGGGGCGCAGGCGUGCGUGGUUGAUGGCAACGAGGAGAUUACAGUUCUGGGCAUAGAAAAUGCUACCACGUGGUUACCGAAUGAAGGAAGGAUGUUUACUGAGAGACUCCCCUGCAGUGUACCCCAAAUCAGAGCGAAUCCUCACAUCUUUGUUUCUAGUCCUUAGGACACAGCAUCGAAGGCUCCUAGUGCACAAGAAAAGGAACUGGGCGGUGGCUCAUGCCUGUAAUCCUAGCACUUUGGGCGGCAGAGGCGGGAGGAUCACUUGAGCACGGGAGUUUGAGACCAGCUUGGGCAACAUAGUGAGACCCCGUGGUGGUGCACGCCUGUGGUCCCAGCUAUUUGGGACUUGAGAGGCUGAAGUGGGAGGAUCACUUGGGCCUGGGAAUUUGAGGCUGCAGUGAGCCAUGAUUGCACCACUGCACUGCAGCCUGGUUGACGGAGACCAGGUCUCAAAAAAAAAAAAAAAAAAAAAAAGUAAUGGCCUGGACAUGAAUCUCUUCUCCAAAGUCACAGAACCUCCUGGAGCCUAUUUGCUAUGAGGACAGUCUCCAGAUGUGGGCUCAGUAAAAGGUCCUCAGCCUGCUGGCUGGGAGCCCUUCCAGGGUGGGGCCCACGUUCUCUCCAUUGCUGCUGGGGAGGAAAUUCAAACACCAUCUGGUAUGGCUGGAUUGGAGAGCGUCGGGAGACUCCAAAGGGGACGGCAGGGAGUGAAAAAUGAAAGACAUUGACCGAGUGUCUGGACAAUAGGGAAAGCUCUCUGAUGAAGGAAACCGACACUUGGCUCCAAUGACAGAAAGUAAUAGAUUGCAUGGGAGCCACGGAGACCAGUGCCUGUUCAAAAGGUCACCCACAAGCACAGCACUGCCCAGGAGGCCUGAACAGUAGUGGCCUUCAGGCUGGGUGCAGUGGCUGACACCUAUGAUCCCAACACUUUGGGAGUCUGAGGUGGGAGAUUACUUGAGCCCAGGAGUUCAAGACCAGUCUGGGGAACAUAGUGAGACCCCAUCUCUACAAAAAUAAAAAUUAAAAAAAUAGCUAAAUUAGCUGGUCAUGGUCCCAGCUACUUGGGAGGCUGAGGCGGGAGGAUAAGUUGGGCUCAGGAGGUCGAGGCUACAGUGAGCUGUGUUUGUGCCACUGCACUCCAGCCUGGGUGAGAGAGCAAAACCUGCCCCCAACCCCAACAAAGUAGUAUCCUUCAGAGAACUUGGAGGGGUGGGCACUGAAAGCUUCAGGGACCAGCAGAGACAAAAAUUUGAAGCCACUUGGUGGAGACGGGAGAUCGACAAGAGGAAAUGGGCUCAAACAAAAGGGCAGUGGGGAGGGAGGGGGCUCAUAGGGUCCAGACACUACUCUGAGCUGCAGAGAAAGACAGGGAGACAGGCAGUGAGAUGGAGGCAGAGCAACAGAUGGGGGAAACAAAGAACAGAAGCAGAGAGAAACAGAUUCAAGACCCCAGUAAG
rnacentral:lncRNA from 10 species